CAUACCCACAACCCCUCCUCCCCAGGUUAUUACAAUCCUCCCUUCCUAUGACAUCCCCUGGUUUCCGUCCAGUGCAGCAGGUUGUCAGUUUGCCAUGUGGGACAGCAGGGGAGCGUAUUUGGACUCUGCUCUGCCCAGUCUGACAAACUGGACCGGAGUUUGGCAGGUAGAAGGGAGGCAGUGAUGUAAAGCUUGUAUUUGUAAGGACUACCAGAAAGCCUCAUGCUUACCCUGUGGGUCAACCUCCUUGGAGAUCUUCAGAGCAUCCGAGUUGGCCAGGUCAGUGUUUGCAGGGGUGACAGCCAGGAUCAGACAGCUCUCCUUGGUGAUAAACUGUAACAGCAUGUCUCUGAUCUGGUGCUCAAUGUCUACAGGCUGGUCUCCCACCGCGACCUUCGUCAUUCCCGGGAGGUCAAUCAGGGUCAGGUUCAGCACUGAGUCACAGGGACAGAAGUCAUAAUAAUGAGAAAUAAAAAUGACGUGUUCUUUCUG